UACGUAGGGACCAAGCGUUGUUCGGAUUUACUGGGCGUAAAGGGCUCGUAGGCGGCCAACUAAGUCAUACGUGAAAUCCCUCGGCUUAACCGGGGAACUGCGUCUGAUACUGGAUGGCUUGAGUUCGGGAGAGGGAUGCGGAAUUCCAGGUGUAGCGGUGAAAUGCGUAGAUAUCUGGAGGAAUACCGGUGGCGAAGGCGGCAUCCUGGACCGGCAUUGACGCUGAUGAGCGAAAGCUAGGGGAGCAAACGGG
rnacentral:rRNA from 1 species